rnacentral:rRNA from 1 species
UACGGAGGAUGCGAGCGUUAUCCGGAUUUAUUGGGUUUAAAGGGUGCGUAGGCGGAUUUUUAAGUCAGCGGUAAAAUGUCCGGGCUCAACCCGGGCCGGCCGUUGAAACUGGGGAUCUUGAGUGGGCGAGAAGUAUGCGGAAUGCGUGGUGUAGCGGUGAAAUGCAUAGAUAUCACGCAGAACUCCGAUUGCGAAGGCAGCAUACCGGCGCCCGACUGACGCUGAGGCACGAAAGCGUGGGUAGCAAACAGG